rnacentral:rRNA from 1 species
UACAGAGGGGGCAAGCGUUGUUCGGAAUUACUGGGCGUAAAGGGCGCGUAGGCGGCCGCCUAAGUCAGACGUGAAAUCCCUCGGCUCAACCGGGGAACUGCGUCUGAUACUGGGUGGCUUGAAUCCGGGAGAGGGAUGCGGAAUUCCAGGUGUAGCGGUGAAAUGCGUAGAUAUCUGGAGGAACACCGGUGGCGAGGGCGGCAUCCUGGACCAACACUGACGCUGAGGAGCGAAAGCCAGGGGAGCAAACGGG